rnacentral:rRNA from 1 species
GACAUAGGUGGCGAACGUUAUCCGGAUUUAUUGGGCGUAAAGGAUGCGUAGAUGGUGGAAUAAGUUGUUGGUCGAAAUCGAGCUCAACUUGAUGGAGGCUAGCAAUACUGUUCUACUGGAGGGCAGAAGAGGUUAGCGGAACUUACACAAGUAGGGGUGAAAUCCAAUGAUCUGUGAGGGACCACCAAAAAAGGCGAAGGCAGC